AGAAUUCCAUUCUUUAGAUAAAGAGUUCGAGGGUUUAUACUCGCUGCUGCCCGCAUGAGGUAAUAUUUUGGUGCUUCUAUUUGUUGUCAAAAGGGUCAAACAGCACCGAAAAUUCUAUAUUUUAAUUUUAAUAAAUCGAUACUUAUAUUUUUAUCAUAAUAAAUUAUUGGCUCGUUUCCUCUUAUCAUUUUAUUUAUUUUUUUUAUCAUGUUAUUUACCAUUUUUUAGUUUUUCGUGAAUAAACAUUAUACUCUUUCUAAUAAAUCUAAAAAUGUUUGUUAAUUUUAUUAUAAAUAUUAAAUUUAGUUUGAAGAUGCUGCAAAAUUAUAUCGUAACAAUAAAAAUUUUAGCUCAUAUAGAAUUUAACAUGAAACUAAAAUUAUUUAAAUUCUUUGGUUUUAAAAUCAAGAAGGUGCUUGUUUUCCAUGUUGACAUUAAAGUCUUUUAAUUGAAGUGUUGGAUUAUAACUUCUUUUUCAGUGUGUGUGUGUGUGUUUGUUGGUCAAGAGGUUUCCUUAUUAAUCUUUAGUUGAAUGUGGGUUUUUUUGGAUCCUGAUUUUUGUCGAUUCGGAUAGCUCAAUCAAUUUUUUAUGAUAUUUUUGUAAGUGUGAUAGAAUCAACCUACUACUCAAACUAUCUGUUCUUAGAUAAGAGUGCAAUAUCAUCUAAAUUUUAGUAUCUGUUUAUGAAAUCUUAUAGAUAUAUAUAUCUUCUAUUUGUCUCUUUGAUAACUUAUUAAGCUGGGAUUGAUUACUAGUUUCGAAUUGUUAUCUUUGCAUGUUUGAACAGUUUAUUAAACAUUUCUAUUUGUAAUCUUUGCAUGUUAAACGGUGUAUUAGCAUUUUUAUUGACCACCUUUUCGAGGAUAGAUUGCGGAUAUGUCUUCGGUUGCGGCAGCCAUAACAUGAGUCUUGCUUAAUCCUUGGAAACACAUACAAAGUUGCAUUAGUAGGUAUAAUUAUUUUGGUUAUCAGAGUUGGGUGGCAGCCCUAGGUUCACAUUAUUAAAGAGUAAUUAGGGGCCCCUCAUAUGAUGGCUUUAAGUAAAAGAUGGUAUCCCCCGCCCCUACCAAAAAUUGCUAUCCAAGUGAAGUGACCCGUAAUAAGGUCACGCUCACUCUCGUUUAAGUGAAGAAACAUGACUCUUUAGUCUUUACCCACUUUGUCAAUCAUAAACAUGUGCCGACGAGGAAAAUGCGCCUACAUACCACCUGCCUACUCACUAUAAUAAACAGUUUUGUUUUAUCUCUAAAAAGCUGUAUCACUAAUAUAUUCAAAUAAAUAUCUCUUACACGUGUUCAACCCAACCCGUUCCCCUGCUUUUGCCAACAACUAUACAGAAGCAAACUGUACAAUACAACACAUCUCACACUUCAAACUUGAAAGAAUAAUAAUUCCAUGUUGCAGAACACAAGGCUUCCUAAUCCUUAUUCAAAUUUACUAACUUACACUUAAACUUAUUCGGUUCUCUACACAAGAUAGUAGUGAUAUAUAGAUUCGUAACUUGCAUAUCGCUUUGUUUCAACAUAUUACCUUGUCCCUUUGUCCAUUGAGCAUGAACUGAGAAGCACCCUUGUUGCGGCCAGAAACCUUUGGAAGUUUCUAUUUUGCAGUCUCAUUCUUUAGAAAUGAUAAUAAACAAACUUCUUCAAGUGCAAAAGACUAGUAACUACUUACACCAAAUUUCAUACUACAAAAUAUAUCCCAAUCAUUCAUCAAACCUACCAACAGAAAUGGAGAGUAUUACACUCUUCACGUACCAUUCUUUCUUCAAGCAUUUCCCCAUUCAGGCUUCAGAAAAUUCUGUUCCACCGUUCAAACACGAUACAACUUUACCACUUGAUCAAUUUUUGCACGACAUACAGGGCAGCCCCAUUUCUUGGCUUUAAUCUCAUUCAGACAAGAAAUACAUCCAGCCACAUGACCACAGGGAACACAAGCCGCUUCAGAUGGAGCAUCCAAACAUACAACACAUGUUGAAGAAUCUCCACCUUUGUUUUCAGAAGCAGGUAAGUUCUCGACAGUUGAAAGCAUAUCAACAGGACUUGAGUCAAUUGAUGGAUACUCAAUUGGCCCAUCAUCUCUAACAUUAUCUGUGAUCGGUGGAGCUGAAGGGACAGACUCCGAGGCAUGGAUCGAUGUCUGGGAGGCAGGAACUAAAUUACUCUCCAUCUGGGUUUGCAGGGCUGCAAUGGCACUAGAGCCAGAUUCAUGCUUUGGCCACUCGAUGCCACUAGACGUCCCUGGUCUGUUUUGACUGCAUAUAUUCACAGCAUUUUUCC
rnacentral:lncRNA from 1 species